CGUAAUCUGGCACUUACGUCAUUUCUGAUAGUUUGUGUUAUACAUCGAUGAAAUUAUUUAUUUAAAAGCGCUCGUACAUCAUUGAAAUUGCUAUAUAUUUUAAACCACUAAGUAGAUCGGAGGACAACGGUCAACUAUAACCUCCAAGAAUAGAAAUAGAAGAAGAAAUUGCUAUAUUAAUUAAAAAAUUUAAAAAUAGGCCUAUAUUGUGAAAUGAAAUUAAUUAAUAAACUAUGUUUACUAUUAUGAAUUAUGUUAUUUUAAAAAAUUUCAACAAUAUUCAUGUAAUUAAAUUUAAGAAAGGAUAUUUUUAAACUAUAGUAAUAUAAACUAACAGCGCGAAAUUGAAAGCGUUGAAAAAUGGAUAUGACUCGGAAAGUAUUUUUGUUAUCAAGAAUAUUGAUGAAAAAUGAGGAAGAAAUUGAUUACAAACUGAACAUAAUUACAUUGAAAUGUCCAAAAACUGUCAAGGGUGGUCCACUUCCUCACCCCACGAUCCCUACAAAAAUUCAAACUUACCACAUCAGCCACCAUCUUAGAAAAGACUGUCAUCAUACCGGUAUGCAGAUUAUUACUGAUUCUGAAUUGGAUUUGAAGAGUGGUCAG
rnacentral:lncRNA from 1 species